GCUAAGAUCUAAGAAUUUUAUCUUAUUUUAAGCUUUGAAGGCUAAUAGUUUACUUAACUUAAGAUCUUAUUACAG
rnacentral:tRNA from 1 species